GUAGUCUCAGAUUUCUCAUCUAGUAACACCUGCUUCAUAAGUUUGUGUUAAGAAUUAGCAGACGUUUUGAUACAUAAUAAGAAUAAAUGCUAACUGCUAUUAUUAUCAUUAAUAGUAUAAACUGAUACUAUUAUUAUCAUUAAUAGUACACAACUCUACUCUUAAUAAAAGAGUAGAACUUUUUGAGGGGGGAUAGGAGGAGGUUGGCAGGUGGUGGAGAGAAUACCAAGACCUAGGCUCUCCUGAUCUCCCUGCAUCCCUGUCAUUUUUGGCAAUGUCGCUAAUCGGCCCAGCAGCCCGAAUCCACACGCCCCGGCGUCCGGGCUCUGCAAGGUGCAGCUGGUCUCAGGCCCUGUCUCAGAAUACAGAAGUAAUCAGAAUUUAUUCACGUGGGCCGACUGAGAGUUUUGACGUCAAAGGGCAAUCCUGUCUGAUUGAUACCACUCAAAUGGCAAUAUUGUUUGAAGAAAUGUAGUUAGAGAGAUGGCAAUUUAAAGGCUAUAAGAAGUUACAGGAAAAGAUUUUGUGAAUAGAGACUAUAAAGCACUCCUGUAACCUUGGCCCCAAAGAGGGCUCUCCAGACAGAAAGUUGCCUGCAUGUCCCGGUGCGUGUUUUUGAGUGUGAUACUGUUCUUCACUGCUCUGUCCCAAGAAAUCCAGCAUUGCCUAUGGCAUACCUUCUGAGGAAAGCCUUUGGGGCAAAGAAAUUACAAAAAUGAAGAGUUCAUACUUAAGGAAUUCAAUCUGAAUGAACCCAGGAGAGGGCAAGGGAUAGUCAUUUGCACUCGGUUUUCAGAAGCUAUAAGUGAAUACUAUCAAAAGGCGAUCCCUAUGACUUGGUCAUUACUGAAAAGGCAACAAAAUUGAAGACUGUCUUCUCAUAAUUAGGGCGCUGAACACUGACUAAGAGGAGAGAGCGCACAUUACAUGGAGACCAUGGUCCCCAUACCAGAAACAUGAGAGUAGAGAGAAGCAAAGCCAGCAUCGUGGAGCCAGUCCCUUUAUCCAGGAUCUUGGAGGGAUACAGUCUUCUGUAGAAAUUAAAUAAAGACUGAAUUCUUCAAUGGGUAUUUUGAGAAGAGAGCCACUGUAAGCUUAUACACUGUGAAUUGCAAAAUGUUACUGCCUCUGGGUGGACAGGUUUUAAAAAGACUUUUUUUUUUCCUCCUGGCAUGGCUGACAGAGGGAAGGCUGGGUUUCAAUCCCAUCUUUCCCUUCCCUUGCCCAGUGCUUCUUUAUGUGCACAACCUGCACAACUAUAUGUGGUUUGCAAACACGCAUAAGCAAAGACUAACAGCUUCUGAAACAAACUCUGAAUAAAAGAGGGAGCAUAUUAAGGCAGAUGGCAGAGGAGGUGAGCAGCAUGGGCAGAUAGAAGCAUCACAGAGACUACAAGAAGAAUGUGCCAGACCGGCUCAUAGUGGCCACACUGAUUAAGAAUUACCAUCAGCUCUUUAGGAUUUGGAAACUUGGAAACACAUUGUGUGUUCUUCCUGGUUUGUUAUAGAGUAUGUGUAUGUACUUCUUUCUCUUAAAAAUAUUUAUUUUUAAAGAAUUGACUUAUAAAAUUAUAUGUAUUUGUCAUGUAUAACACAAUAUUUUGAAGUACAGUCCUGUGUCAUAAGGAUAUGUUCUGAGAAAUCCAUCAAUUUUGUCAUUGUAUAAACAUGAUAGAGUGUAUUUACACAAACCUAGGUGGUAUAAACUACUACACACCUAGGCUACAUAAUGUAGCCUAUUGCUCCUAGGCUAUAAACCUGUAUAACAUGCUACUGUACUAAAUACUAUAGACAAUAGUCACAUACUGGUGAGUAUUUGCGUAUCAAAACAUAUCUAAAUAUAGAAAAGAUGCAGUAAAAAUAUGGUAUUACAAUCUUAUGAGACCACUAUAGUAUAUGAGGUCCAUCAUUGAUUAAAACAUAGUUAUAUGGUGCAUGACUGUAUAUAUGCAUUGUGGAAUGGUUAAAUCUAGCUAACUAACAAAUGUGUUAUAUCACAUAGUUAUUAUUUUUGAGGUGAGAAUACAAUAUUCACUCUCUUAGCAUUUUUUAAGAAUACAGUAUAUUAACUAUAGUCACCAUGCUGAAUGGUAGAUCUCUGGAACUAAUUUCUCCUAUCUAAGUGUGAUUAUGUACCCUUUGACCAACAUCUUUCUAACCCCACCCCACAAACACCCCAUAAUAAAGCCUCUUGUAACCACCAUUUUACUCCUUUUUCUAUGAGAAUGGCCUUCUUUGUCUCUCCUUUUGUCUGUCCUUACAGUUUUUUACUUAAUGUCUAUUUUGCCUGAUAUUAAUACAAGUAUACUUCCUCCUGCUCUCUUUUAGUUUCUACUUGCAUAGAAUAUCUUUUUCUGUUCCUUCAUUUUCAGUCUGUGUGUCCUUAUAGGUAAAGUGAGUCUCCUGUAGGCAGCAGAUAGUUGGGUUGGCUCUUUUUUUUUUUAAUCCAUCCCAGCCACUUUAUGUAUUUUGAUCAGAGACCUUUAUCCUUUUACAACCAAGGUAAUUAUUAGUAGAUAAGGACUUACUACUGACAUUUUGUUUAUUGCUUUCUCAUUGUUUGAUAGAUUGUUGUGUGUGGUUUUUAUUACAGGGUGUAUCUUGAGUCAUCUCAAUUAAUCUUGAUGCUCUUGGUUCCUACAUCGCUGUUAGCAUUGAGGAUGUUAGAGUGCAGAGUAUCAAAACCAGCAUUCAUCAGAAAGAAAGGAUGUUUACACAAACAUUAAGGCAUGGAAGAGAGUCAGUGGGGUGGGGAUGGGAAAGGAAAGAAUAUCCUAGGCUGAGAAAAUCACUGAAGCAAGAAAAUGGUGUAUAUGAGCAUGGGUUCUUUUAGAAACUAUCUUAACACCUGAUCAAAUGUGGGUGUUUCUGAGAAUGCUGAGCUGAUUAUGGCACAUUCUCUGUCCUGGAGAAGCUGGAAGCAUUUUUACAUCUACCCUAUUUGAUCCUCAUACAAAUUUUAUAAAUUAGAUAAGAAACAUCUUAAUAACUAAAAGUCACUGAAGAGGGAACCUUAAAAAAAGUACUUUAAAAAAGUACACAAGACUUAAGUUUACACAACUAACUCUAGGAAUGCUGGGACUGGAACCCAGCUGCCUGGCAAGUACCAUGGUGUUUUCAACCGGAUCAGAGAGGGGUGAGCUUUUUCCUGCUUCUUCCCCAGAGCAGUAAAUUAAAAAAAAAAAAAAGCGUUAUUGCUGUUAUUUUAUUAUGAUGAUUAUUACUAUUAUCAGAUAGUGAGGGGUGAAGGAAGAGAGUACAGCCAGAUUUCUUCAUUUCUCUCUACUAGUGGUAAUGUGUGUGGGGGCAUAAUAAACUCAAUUAAAGGAGUUCUGAGUAUUUGCAGAGCAAGUUUGUUCAUCUGUCUCAACUGCUUUAAAGAUUUUUUAUUUUAAUAAGAUAAAUAGUUAACUCAUCCUGCUAAAUGAAUUUUCUGCUAAUAACCAUAUACCUCUCCCACAACACUAAUCACAAAGUAUAUUUCUAAAGUGAUUCCAGCCCUGUUUGGGGAAUCAGUAUUAUUUACUCUUUUUCCUCUAGUCCCUAGCACAAUGUCUGGGCUAGAGGAUUCAUUUGAUCACUCAGGAAAUAUUCAUUGAGAACCUACUAUGUGGCAGUCACUAUUUUAGGUACUUAGGACAUAGCAGUGAAGAAAGUAGAUAUGAUUCUUUCUCUAAUGCAGCUUAUAUUUUGAUGGAAUAUUUUAGUAUUUCUAUAAAUAAAUAAAGAUAUGUGUUACAAAGAAAAUUAAAGAGAUGUGAUAAUGAUGAAAUGGGAUAAUUUGCUUGGGUGCCCAGGAAGGUUACUUUGAGGAAGUGACAUUGGAACUGAGACUCAAAUGUCAAGUUUUAAAUGUAGGAAAAAGCUUUGCAUGCCUGAAAAAUGGAAAGAUGAAUAUUAUGGCUUGAGGCUGAAGGGGCAAAGGAAGUGGUGUGGAGGUGAGUGGAAAGAUUCCAAGGUGGUCUUUUCACAGAGGAGGGUGAGGGAGCUAGGUAAUGUCAAAAGCUGACCCAUGUUGCUAGGCUGUCAAAAGUACCAGGCUACAAAGAUUCUCCAAAACUUAAUUAAAUUUAAAAAUAUUUGUGCUCCAAAGGACACCAUCAAGAAAGUAAAAAAAUAACCCACCAAAUGGGAGAAAAUAUUGGCAAAUCAUGUAUCUGAUAAGAGGCUUGUAUCCAGAAAUAUAAAGAACUCUUACAAUUCAAUGGAUAAAUAAACCAAUUUAAAAAAUGAGCAAAAGACUUGAAUAAAUGUUUCUUUAAAGAAGAGAUAUAAAUGGCCAAUUAACAAAUGUAAAGAUCCUCUUCAUCUUUAGUUAUCAGAAAAAUGCAAAUCAAAUCAUGAAAUACUCUCUCAAACCCACUAGAUGGCUAGAAUUUAAAAAGUCAGUAACAAGUUGUUGGCAAGGAUAUAUGGAAAACAAUCCUCAUACCCUUCUGGGAAUGUAAAUGGGAAUGUUAAAUGGUGCAGCUGCUUUAAAUGUCAAAUGGUCCAGCAAUUCUAUUUCUACAUAUAUAUACCCAAGAGAAAUGAAAGCAUAUGCCUCAACAAAAACUUGUACACAAAUGGCAUUAUUCAUAAUAGCCAAAGAUGGGAAUAACUCAAAUGACCAUCGACUGAUAAAUGAACAAACAAAAUGUGGCAUAUCCAUACAGUGGAACUGGCCAUAAAAGGAAUAAAAUGCUAAUACAUGCUAUAACAUGGAUGGACCUUGAAAACAUGAUGGUAAGUGAAAGAAGCCAGUCACAAAGGGCCACAUAUAUCAUUCCAUUCACAUCAAGUUUCCAGAACAGAGAAUUCUAUACAGUCAGAAAGUAAAUUAGUAGUUGCUUGGUGGUGGGGGAUGGGAAGACAGGGUAGUAGUUAAAGGGUACAGGAUUUCUUUUUGAGGUGAUGAACAUGUUCUAAAAUUUGCUGUGGAGAUGGUUGCAUAAAUCUGUAAACAUAUUAAAAGUCAUUAAAUUGUACACUUGAAAUGGGUGAACUGUAUGGUGUGUGAAAUAUAUCUUAAUAAAGCUAUUUUAAAAAAACACUAAAAAAGCUCCCAAAGCCUAAGGUACACUUUAUACUACUAAGAGAUUCAGGCUCUUCAGAUAAAAUUUACUACUUCCAGAUUAGAAUACUUCUGUGCCCAAGGGAGAAUCAUCAAUGAGGCUAUUCUUAGAACACAAAGCUUUCCUUCCUAAAAUACUGGAAAGGAGCAACACCUUGAACACCACAGGAAACCCAUAAAUAUCUAAUUUGCA
rnacentral:lncRNA from 1 species